rnacentral:rRNA from 1 species
GUGAGGAAUAUUGGACAAUGGGCGCAAGCCUGAUCCAGCCAUGCCGCGUGCAGGAAGACGCAUCUAUGGUGUGUAAACUGCUUUUGUACGGGAAGAAACACUCCCUCGUGAGGGAGCUUGACGGUACCGUAAGAAUAAGGAUCGGCUAACUCCGUGCCAGCAGCCGCGGUAAUACGGAGGAUCCAAGCGUUAUCCGGAAUCAUUGGGUUUAAAGGGUCCGUAGGCGGUUUAAUAAGUCAGUGGUGAAAGCCCAUCGCUCAACGAUGGAACGGCCAUUGAUACUGUUAGACUUGAAUUACAAGGAAGUAACUAGAAUAUGUAGUGUAGCGGUGAAAUGCUUAGAUAUGACAUGGAAUACCAAUUGCGAAGGCAGGUUACUACUUGUGGAUUGACGCUGAUGGACGAAAGCGUGGGGAGCGAACAGGAUUAGAAACCCCAGUAGUCC